GACACAUGUGCUGAAUUCUUAAAAUCUGCUAACCUCUGGAUUUUUGGAUAACCGCGUCCAUUACGUUAUCGAGGUUCUCUUCAGAGUCGUCAUAUCCCAUGAUUUAUUUAGUAGCUUUGCUUUAAUGACGGACGACAUAACACCUCAAUGACAAAGGAAAUGACUCUGUUUGCAUACAAAUUAUUAUGACACGAUGAUGUUGAUGAUUUCUCGCAUGGGCACAAAUUUACUAGCUUCGUCCCGUUAAUUACUUACUCCAUGUACGUACUUGCGUAUGCAGAGGAGCUUUGGAGAGACUUGAAGAAUGGAUGAAAAAGUACAUAAAAUGCUCAGCCUCGUCAUCGCACCUCUGACUCCAGCAGCAGCAAAAAUUCUUAAUCCCAAUCUUCACCUCCUUCCCGGACGACAUACAUUCACAUUCAAGGUCCCAAGUCAUGUGCUGCGACUGCGACGAUCUGCUCGAGUGCGCCUUGUGCGCAACUUGCUGCGCUCUUUGUUUCACGUGCUGUAAAGAUGAGCGUCGUUCUCGACCACCCCCGCCACAAACCAUUAUCAUUGAGCAGCCAAUUAUGCAAGGGGGUCCACCACAAGGACCGCCCUUCUACCAGCCUGGGCCACCCCCACCAGGGCCAUACUUUCAACCACCCCCACCAGGCUAUCCCCGCUACUAAAAUGACACACCGCACGUUUGUACAUACCUGCAACACCAAUAAUCUAAUAAGAUCCAGAUCAUCACUCUUCACUAAAUAUUCCUAUUAACAAUAUCGUUUUAUUCAAUUUUAGAAUUACAAUCGUAAAACACCUGCUUCUUCUUUCAUUUAUAAUUUUGAUUUUUCACGAAUACUUAUUAUUGAUGAGCAACAGGUAUCUAAUUGAGGUAACAACCAGCCAGGAGUCACCCUCAAUGUACAAUAUAAUAAACGUCGUGGUAAAAUAUAUUAAACGUUAACAACAUCAACAAUGUUUCACCCAUUGCUCCAUAAAAAUUUGUGGCAUCACAAUAUAAUAAAUUACUUUCAAUACAA